GGAAUUUUGCGCAAUGGGGGAAACCCUGACGCAGCAACGCCGCGUGAUUGAAGAAGCCCUUCGGGGUGUAAAGAUCUGUCAGUGGGGGCGAAACUUGACGGUACCCACAGAGGAAGCAUCGGCUAACUCCGUGCCAGCAGCCGCGGUAAUACGGGGGAUGCAAGCGUUGUCCGGAAUCAUUGGGCGUAAAGAGUUCGUAGGUGGUUUGUUAAGUUAGGGGUUAAAUUCCGAGGCUCAACUUCGGUCAGGCACUUGAUACUGGCAGACUUGAAUGCGGUAGAGGUAAAGGGAAUUCCUGGUGUAGCGGUGAAAUGCGUAGAUAUCAGGAGGAACAUCGGUGGCGUAAGCGCUUUACUGGGCCGUAAUUGACACUGAGGAACGAAAGCCGGGGUAGCAAAUG
rnacentral:rRNA from 1 species